UAGGGAAUCUUCCACAAUGGGUGCAAGCCUGAUGGAGCAACACCGCGUGAGUGAAGAAGGGUUUCGGCUCGUAAAGCUCUGUUGUUAAAGAAGAACACGUAUGAGAGUAACUGUUCAUACGUUGACGGUAUUUAACCAGAAAGUCACGGCUAACUACGUGUCAG
rnacentral:rRNA from 1 species